GUCAACAAGGACAAUCUACCCUCCAAUAAUGCUUUGUUUACUCGACGGAAAACGGUUGAUCGAGUCAAUGCAAAAAUAUAUAAAACAGUCUCUGAAACCUCCACAAACCACCAGCCAACAUAAAGCUUCUACAUCCAGCUGCUUCAUCUGCCAAUUUCUUCAAAGAUGAGCGGGUGGACCGAUCUUCCCAAGGAGCUUUUGGAAACUAUCUCCAAAUGCCUCGAUUUUCGUGUCGAUGUUCUCCGAUUUCGCUCUGUCUGCACUUCCUGGCGAUCCUCCGUUCCAUUUCCUUCCUUUGAUGAAGAUAUUCCUCCUCUCAUCCUUAAACUUCCUAUGCCCAUCGGCGUCGAUGCCGUUCUUUCUCAGGCCACCAUUUGCAGAAUGGAAUUUUCCCGUCAGAAUAAAAAUUCUUUUUCUUCCGAAUCAAAGCCCAAGGCCUGGUUAACUAAAAUUGGAGAGACAAAACUGGGUAAAUUGAAGUUUUUUCAUCCACUCUCAAAUUCCCAAGUCAGGUACUCUCCAAUCAUGUUGAACUUGCUGGACUUCCGGUUUUUCAUGUUAAGUAAAGCUUUCAUGCUUAAAUCCCUAUCUGGAUUCUAUCUUUUUGGGAUAAAUAAAGUUCUUUUAUUUCCAAGUUCUGCUAGAUAUAGUGAACAUGAGCUUUCCAUUCUUGCCAUUUACCACGAAGGAAAAUUGGGUUAUUGGAAAUAUGGAGAUGAGAGUUGGACGCUUUUAGAUGAUAAGAAUUUUCAAUAUGAUGACAUUAUUGAAUAUAAGGGCCAAUUUUAUGUUGUUGAUAGAUGGGGUACAGUUUCUUGGAUUGAUUCGUCCUUGAAGCUGAUUCAGUAUUCCCCUCCUUUGUUCGGUUGUGGUAGCCAGAAGAAUUUGGUGGAGUCAUGUGGGGAUCUUUAUGUAGUUGAUAGAUAUCUUGAUGGAGAUAGGAGAACAUGGAAUGAUUAUGAGAAUCUUGAUGUUAGGCGUCUUAGUUUCUCUUUUCGUCGAAGGAGAUACAGGAUGUGUAGUCCUAAAGCUAUUGCUUUCAGAAUUCAUAAGCUUGAUGAAGAGUGGGGUACAUGGGUUGAUGUGAAAUCAUUGGGUGAUAGAGCCUUUGUUUUGGGUGUGGAUUGUUCUUUCUCCAUUUCAUCUACUGAUUUUUUGGGAGGUAAAGGGAACUGUGUUUACUUCACAGACGAUGAUGAUGUUAAGGGAAAAGGAUUAAAAAGUGAUAGCAUUUUCCUGUUCCGAUUAGAGGAUCACAUCAUUGAGAAAGUAACAACAUUACCUGAGUACUCUGACGUAUUCUGGCCACCCAAAAUUUUCUCAGCAUGACCAAAUUUGGCCAGAAGUUUAAUGUUGUACCUCUUACCAAGAAGGUCUGAAUGAGAGAUCAAGUUGGUGAAUUGUUUUUCAAACUUUGAAAUGAAAUUCCGAAAGGCUCCUGACAGCAAGUGGAUGUCACAAAAAAAAAAGGGCAGUAACUAGAGAGUAUUGCAAUCCAUUCCAUUGCUUCUGGUGACCUGUUAAAAGAGCUUUUCUGCAGUUAUGAAGGCGUAGGCUACUCCAACAUGUAAAUCUAUCAGAAUUUAGUUUCAGGCCCUCAUGAUCAACACCUUCCAUCGCAUUCUCUCUAGUGUAGUCAAUGUUGGUACUUCAAUCUUACAUAAGCAUGUGACUUGGGAUGUUGAUGAACCACAUGAAUUAAGGGAUGUUUAUGUACUAUCAACUUGUUUACAUAAGCAAGUGCACUGUUUAUCUAUUUUGUUAAAUAUAACUCUUAUGGAAAUUGGAUUAGUUGUGAAGGAAGUUGUAGAACCAAGUUGCUGAAAUAA